GAUGAACGCUGGCGGCGUGCCUAAUACAUGCAAGUCGAGCGAACAGACGAGGAGCUUGCUCCUCUGACGUUAGCGGCGGACGGGUGAGUAACACGUGGAUAACCUACCUAUAAGACUGGGAUAACUUCGGGAAACCGGAGCUAAUACCGGAUAACAUGUUGAACCGCAUGGUUCAACAGUGAAAGACGGUCUUGCUGUCACUUAUAGAUGGAUCCGCGCCGCAUUAGCUAGUUGGUAAGGUAACGGCUUACCAAGGCAACGAUGCGUAACCGGCCUGAGAGGGUGAUCGGCCACACUGGAACUGAGACACGGUCCAGACUCCUACGGGAGGCAGCAGUAGGGAAUCUUCCGCAAUGGGCGAAAGCCUGACGGAGCAACGCCGCGUGAGUGAAGAAGGUCUUCGGAUCGUAAAACUCUGUUAUUAGGGAAGAACAAAUGUGUAAGUAACUAUGCACGUCUUGACGGUACCUAAUCAGAAAGCCACGGCUAACUACGU
rnacentral:rRNA from 1 species